rnacentral:rRNA from 1 species
UACGGAGGGUGCAAGCGUUUAAUCGGAAUUACUGGGCGUAAAGCGCACGCAGGUGGCUAAGUCAGUCGAUUGUGAAAGCCCUGGGCUUAACCUGGGAAUUGCAGUCGAUACUACUUAGCUAGAGUAUGGGAGAGGGCAGUGGAAUUCCCGGUGUAGCGGUGAAAUGCGUAGAUAUCGAGAGGAACACCGUUGGUGAAGGCGGCUCACUGGACAGAUACUGACGCUGAGGCACGAAGGUCGGGGGGAGCAAACAGG